CCUACGGGCGGCAGCAGUGGGGAAUAUUGGACAAUGGGCGAAAGCCUGAUCCAGCCAUGCCGCGUGUGUGAAGAAGGCCUUCGGGUUGUAAAGCACUUUCAGUGGGGAAGAAAGCCUUGGGGCUAAUACCCUCGAGGAAGGACAUCACCCACAGAAGAAGCACCGGCUAACUGCCGUGCCAGCAGCCGCGGUAAUACGGAGGGUGCGAGCGUUAAUCGGAAUUACUGGGCGUAAAGCGCGCGUAGGCGGUCUGAUAAGCCGGUUGUGAAAGCCCCGGGCUCAACCUGGGAACGGCAUCCGGAACUGUCAGGCUAGAGUGCAGGAGAGGAAGGUAGAAUUCCCGGUGUAGCGGUGAAAUGCGUAGAGAUCGGGAGGAAUACCAGUGGCGAAGGCGGCCUUCUGGACUGACACUGACGCUGAGGUGCGAAAGCGUGGGUAGCAAACAGGAUUAGAUACCCUUGUAGUC
rnacentral:rRNA from 1 species